AGAGUUUGAUUCUGGCUCAGGACGAACGCUGGCGGCAGGCCUAACACAUGCAAGUCGAACGCGAACGGUACUUCGGUACUUAUUAGAGUGGCGCACGGGUGAGUAACGCGUGGGAACGUACCCUUCAGUACGGAAUAGCCUCGGGAAACUGGGAUUAAUACCGUAUAAUAUCUCCGGAUCAAAGAUUUAUCGCUGAAGGAUCGGCCCGCGUUGGAUUAGUUUGUUGGUGGGGUAAUGGCCUACCAAGACUACGAUCUAUAGCUGGUCUGAGAGGAUGAUCAGCCACACUGGGACUGAGACACGGCCCAGACUCCUACGGGAGGCAGCAGUGGGGAAUAUUGGACAAUGGGCGAAAGCCUGAUCCAGCCAUGCCGCGUGAGUGAUGAAGGCCCUAGGGUUGUAAAGCUCUUUCAACGGUGAAGAUGAUGACGGUAACCGUAGAAGAAGCCCCGGCUAACUUCGUGCCAGCAGCCGCGGUAAUACGAAGGGGGCUAGCGUUGUCCGGAAUUACUGGGCGUAAAGCGCGCGUAGGCGGCUUGCCAAGUCAGAGGUGAAAUCCCGGGGCUUAACCCCGGAACUGCCUUUGAAACUGGUAGGCUAGAGUGUCAGAGGGGAUAGUGGAAUUCCUAGUGUAGAGGUGAAAUUCGUAGACAUUAGGAGGAACACCAGUGGCGAAGGCGACUGUCUGGCUGACAACUGACGCUGAGGCGCGAAAGCGUGGGGAGCUAACAGGAUUAGAUACCCUGGUAGUCCACGCCGUAAACGAUGAGUGCUAGCUGUUGGGGCCUUAAGGUUUCAGUGGCGCAGCUAACGCAUUAAGCACUCCGCCUGGGGAGUACGGCCGCAAGGUUAAAACUCAAAGAAAUUGACGGGGACCCGCACAAGCGGUGGAGCAUGUGGUUUAAUUCGAGGCAACGCGAAGAACCUUACCAGGACUUGACAUGCCGGUCGCGGAUCGUAGAGAUACUUUCCUUCAGCUCGGCUGGACCGUGCACAGGUGCUGCAUGGCUGUCGUCAGCUCGUGUCGUGAGAUGUUGGGUUAAGUCCCGCAACGAGCGCAACCCUCAUCCUUAGUUGCUACCAUUUAGUUGGGCACUCUAAGGAAACUGCCUGGGUCAACCAGGAGGAAGGUGGGGAUGACGUCAAGUCUUCAUGGCCCUUACGUCCUGGGCUACACACGUGCUACAAUGGUGGUGACAGUGCGCAGCCACUCCGCGAGGAGGAGCUAAUCGCAAAAAGCCAUCUCAGUUCGGAUUGGACUCUGCAACUCGAGUCCAUGAAGUUGGAAUCGCUAGUAAUCGUAGAUCAGCAUGCUACGGUGAAUACGUUCCCGGGUCUUGUACACACCGCCCGUCACACCAUGGGAGUGGGUUCUACCUUAAGCCGGUGCGCUAAUCUGGCAGCCGUCCACGGUAGGAUUCAUGACUGGGGUGAAGUCGUAACAAGGUA
rnacentral:rRNA from 1 species